rnacentral:misc_RNA from 1 species
GAACUGCGAUAAGUAAUGUGAAUUGCAGAAUUCAGUGAAUCAUCGAGUCUUUGAACGCACAUUGCGCCCCCUGGCAUUCCGGGGGGCAUGCCUGUCCGAGCGUCAUUGCUGCCCUUCAAGCCCGGCUUGUGUGUUGGGUCGUCGUCCCCUCCGGGGGACGGGCCCGAAAGGCAGCGGCGGCACCGCGUCCGGUCCUCGAGCGUAUGGGGCUUUGUCACCCGCUCGAUAAGGACCGGCCGGGCGCCAGCCGGCGUCUCAACCUUUUUUUCUCAGGUUGACCUCGGAUCAGGUAGGGAUACCCGCUGAACUUAAGC